AACACUGCACCCUUAUGGGUGCGGCUAUGGAGAAGGUUCAGUCUACGAAAAGCGGACUGACCGAAGCCUUCCACAGCCUACUAACAGGCUUCGAGGUAAGCGGCUUAAUAUUCUUCAUGAGUAUUCUGUAUAUAUAUGUGUGUGGCGAUGCCCAUGUGUAGACAGUAGCCCCUGAGACUCUGUUUGGAUUAUAACAAUCUGAACAGAGGAUCAUUAACAAGUAUAUCAUGCACUGUUUUUUUAUAUUCGACAUGCUUCGAAGCUGGCGGCUACUGUCCAGGCCGCAGAAAUUGCCGAGCUCAAUCGAAAGCUCUGGCUAUCCGAUGAGGAACUCGACCGUACAAAUAAGCGGUUCGACGAAACCCAAGUUGUCAUAGACGAGGUCGAGUCCCUCAAGAGCAUCCUUGCCAAAGCCAAGAAGGAAGCAGAGGCGAGCAAGGUGGCCGCGGACAGUCGCGGGUGGAGGAAAUAGAGAAGGAGCUCAAGGACGCCAUCACAUGGUACGAGUCCUUGGAGUAGAAGAGUUCGGAGAAGGCCUCUGAACUCACCAAAGCUCUUGAGAGUCUGAAGGAGGCCCGGGCUGAUGCCCAGGGUGCUCGCCAGGAGAUACAAGAGGCGAAGCGGAUUGUGGCUGGCGCCUUUGCUGAUCUGACGAAGAGUAUUGCGGAUGCUGCCACAUUUUUCCAAGCCAAAGAGGGGAGCUCGAUGAAGAAGUUAUUCUGGUUGCAGUACCUUGCGCCGGAACUUCCCGUGGCCUUGAGCGACCAGCUGAAGCAGUUGUCCGAGCUGCACAGGGUGGCCGGACUAGCCAUGAAGUAUGUUAUAAUCCGCUUGUGGCCGGCCGAUCACAUCCCUAAUAGUCACUUUGGCCUCGUGCAGAGGCUAGUGGAGGCGCUUCCUCGGAUCGAUGCCCUCAGGCGGUCGUCCUGCAUCGAAGGUGCCCGAAUGGCCUUUGCCCGUGUCAAGGUGCAGUGGGCAAAGAUGAAGGCCGUCAAAAUUGCUACCUCAGGGCCGCCUGAAGGGAAAGAGCACCGGCGGCCGGAGAAGUACUUUGACGAGGUCCUUGAGGGAGCCCGCAUUGUGGAGGGGCAGUGUUCGAAGGAUGCCAUCUUUGAG